rnacentral:misc_RNA from 1 species
AAGUCGUAACAAGGUCUCCGUUGGUGAACCAGCGGAGGGAUCAUUACGAAAAGGAGUACUCGUACUCUUAAACCCUUUGUGAACCUACCUUUUGUCAGUUGCUUCGGCGGGAGGCCCCUGGGAGGGGCCCCGGGGCCCGGUCCUGAGCCGGGCUCCCGCCGGAGGAGCGCAACCAAAACUCUUGCUGUACCUCAGUGGCACCUCCGAGUAAAAAAAUAAUAAUAAACAAGUUAAAACUUUCAACAACGGAUCUCUUGGUUCUG